UACGUAGGGUGCAAGCGUUUGUCCGGAAUUAUUGGGCGUAAAGAGCUCGUAGGCGGUUUGUCGCGUCUGCUGUGAAAACGCGAGGCUCAACCUCGCGCCUGCAGUGGGUACGGGCAGACUAGAGUGCGGUAGGGGGAGAUUGGAAUUCCUGGUGUAGCGGUGGAAUGCGCAGAUAUCAGGAGGAACACCGAUGGCGAAGGCAGAUCUCUGGGCCGUAACUGACGCUGAGGAGCGAAAGCGUGGGGAGCGAACAGG
rnacentral:rRNA from 1 species